rnacentral:rRNA from 1 species
UGGGGAAUAUUGCACAAUGGAGGGAACUCUGAUGCAGCGACGCCGCGUGAACGAAGAAGGCUUUCGAGUCGUAAAGUUCUUUUAUAUGGGAAGAUAAUGACGGUACCAUAAGAAAAAGCCCCGGCUAACUACGUGCCAGCAGCCGCGGUAAUACGUAGGGGGCUAGCGUUGUCCGGAAUCACUGGGCGUAAAGCGCGCGUAGGCGGUUUGUUAGGUCAGGAGUUAAAUCUGGGGGCUCAACCCCUAUCCGCUCCUGAUACCGGCAGGCUUGAGUCUGGUAGGGGAAGGCGGAAUUCCAAGUGUAGCGGUGAAAUGCGCAGAUAUUUGGAAGAACACCGGUGGCGAAGGCGGCCUUCUGGGCCACGACUGACGCUGAGGCGCGAAAGCUAGGGGAGCGAACAGG